AUAGUCUGUGUUAACUGAUUUAAUGUUUCAGACUACACGAGCAUGGUGCUAUAUGAAAUUUCUUCGAUGAGUUUUUUACUCAUGCCAUAUAUUAGCAGUUUGCUAAUAUAUGGCUCAACUUUUGAAGAUACAUUG